GCUGGCGGCGUGCCUAAUACAUGCAAGUCGAGCGAAUCGGAGGGAGCUUGCUCCCGAUGAUUAGCGGCGGACGGGUGAGUAACACGUGGGCAACCUGCCUGUAAGACUGGGAUAACUCCGGGAAACCGGGGCUAAUACCGGAUAAUAUCUAUUUAUACAUAUAAUUAGAUUGAAAGAUGGUUCUGCUAUCACUUACAGAUGGGCCCGCGGCGCAUUAGCUAGUUGGUGAGGUAACGGCUCACCAAGGCGACGAUGCGUAGCCGACCUGAGAGGGUGAUCGGCCACACUGGGACUGAGACACGGCCCAGACUCCUACGGGAGGCAGCAGUAGGGAAUCUUCCGCAAUGGACGAAAGUCUGACGGAGCAACGCCGCGUGAGUGAUGAAGGUUUUCGGAUCGUAAAACUCUGUUGUUAGGGAAGAACAAGUAUCGGAGUAACUGCCGGUACCUUGACGGUACCUAACCAGAAAGCCACGGCUAACUACGUGCCAGCAGCCGCGGUAAUACGUAGGUGGCAAGCGUUGUCCGGAAUUAUUGGGCGUAAAGCGCGCGCAGGCGGUUCCUUAAGUCUGAUGUGAAAGCCCACGGCUCAACCGUGGAGGGUCAUUGGA
rnacentral:rRNA from 1 species